rnacentral:rRNA from 1 species
UUGUCGUCAGCUCGUGUCGUGAGAUGUUGGGUUAAGUCCCGCAACGAGCGCAACCCUUGAUCUUAGUUGCCAGCACUUNGGGUGGGCACUCUAAGGUGACUGCCGGUGACAAACCGGAGGAAGGUGGGGAUGACGUCAAAUCAUCAUGCCCCUUAUGACUUGGGCUACACACGUACUACAAUGGCUGGUACAACGGGAAGCGAAGCCGCGAGGUGGAGCCAAUCCUAAAAAGCCAGUCUCAGUUCGGAUUGCAGGCUGCAACUCGCCUGCAUGAAGUCGGAAUUGCUAGUAAUCGCGGAUCAGCAUGCCGCGGUGAAUACGUUCCCGG